rnacentral:rRNA from 1 species
AACGCGAAGAACCUUACCUGGGCUCGAACGGCUGGUCAACGAUCGUGGAAACACGGUUACUCCGCAAGGGGGUCCAGUCGAGGUGCUGCAUGGCUGUCGUCAGCUCGUGUCGUGAGAUGUUGGGUUAAGUCCCGCAACGAGCGCAACCCUUGUCCUGUGUUGGCAUGCCGCAAGGCGCAACUCUCAGGAGACCGCCAGCGAUAAGCUGGAGGAAGGUGGGGAUGACGUCAAGUCAUCAUGGCCUUUAUGUCCAGGGCCACACACGUGCUACAAUGGGCGGUACAAAGCGCAGCCAACCCGCGAGGGGGAGCUAAUCGCCAAAAACCGUCCUCAGUUCGGAUCGCAGGCUGCAACUCGCCUGCGUGAAGCUGGAAUCGCUAGUAAUGCUAUAUCAGAACGAUAGCGUGAAUACGUUCCCGGGCCUUGUACACACCGUAGAGAC